rnacentral:tRNA from 1 species
GCCGGCUUAGCUCAGUUGGUAGAGCAGUUGACUUGUAAUCAGCAGGUCGUCGGUUCAAAUCCGACAGCCGGCUCCA